GGUGGCGGGUAGAAGCCCACCAAGGCGACGAUCAGUAGCCGGCCUGAGAGGGUGAACGGCCACAUUGGGACUGAGACACGGCCCAAACUCCUACGGAAGGCAGCAG
rnacentral:rRNA from 1 species